AUCCUACUUUUGUCUGUCUCACCAAAGGUUUUCACCACCUCCACAAAAAACUCCCCAGUUCUCAUCUGGCAUAGCGCUUUGGAUGACUGCAAUUUUCGUCCGCUUGGUGUCUUUAUACGGUGGCCAAAAAGACACCUUGCCGUCCAAACUUAGCCACGAGCAAGGCACAACCUCCACCUCAUUUGACUCGGUUCCCAACCACAGCUGUCCCCAGUGCAGUUGAAUCAACAGGGUGGUUGAAAAAUGGACGUUGGUCUAAAUAUUGCCUCGCCACAAAAGACGUACCACCAAGUGUCCUGCUAAUUGCCUCUAUUUUAAAAGUGGCACCACCACACGAAACUGUGUUGUUCCCAUCCUUUGUGGACAGGGUAAAUCUAUCAGUGGCGUACUGUGUUGUUGAGGGUGAACUUUGGUUAUGGGAAGAUGGACAGACUGGGUUGAUGCUUGAUUUUUCCGUUAAUCGUUUAACAAUUUGUUGUAAUGUCUGGUUUGGCUUUCUAAUUAGUUUCUUUAAUUUAUACAAGAAAUUUUCGAAGGGAAAGGCAGAAAUUUGGGGUAGUGGGCCAUAUUUUCUAACAUCACUUGCCAGGUGGAUCAAGCUGUGGACGUUAUACACCAGAAAGUCCCCAUAGAUGGCGUGAAAAUUCUGAACGAACACUACCAGGAGAUUUUCCGUAUAGUCACAAUAACGGUGGUGGAGACGGGGGGAACAUAAAAUUGUUAUUGCUACGUGGAGUAAAAGAAAAUGUUGAUACAUGUGUUUUGGUAGUUUUUUUUUUUAAUGCAAUGGGGCCAGUGUAUAGUAAAAAAGUCCUAAAUUCAGUGGCCUUCCACCGAUCAACCUCACGGAGGGACCUUCCCUUGCGUCCAAACUCCUUUGGCAGCCUCUUGCCCAAUUUGAUUAAGUUCUCUGAAAUAAUGCAGAUGGAUUGACUCCCAAUGCGGGUUGGAAGGGGCCCUCUCUGCCACAGCCAGAUCAACUUUCUCAUCACUCCUAGGCACACCAGGUGCAUAAAGUCCAGCACAAAUUGGGUCACCAAGCCUACAUCUAGGUGUUGUAAUGGACUGUCGCCCUCUUUGUGAUGUUCCUGGUUGACUUUUGUGGCAAAACUGUCAUCGGUUCUGAGAACCGCAUCUGUUUCGGAGUAAUUUAGGCGUCGGUUUGCCCAUGAGCCCUCUUGCAUGCACCUUUCGCAGCCGUAAUAGGAAUUGUGUGCUUUUAUGUUUUUUAGAAAUGCCCUUGCCGGUGCAUCACAGACAAAACAGGAAAUUUCGAUUUUUUUUUUUUGACUGAUACUCCAAGCCAUCAGAUGCAAGCUUCCCCAUCUCUGCCACAAAGUCAGAGAGGUACUCGCUUGCAUCGGUUGGCUUGGAGUAUCCGCAAUAUAAACCAAUUAGAAAUGGGGAUCUAAUGGGGUCCUCUUCAAUUAGUGCAAGAAUUGGCCAAAAUUGCUGGCUGCUGCUUUUAAAAAGGGCCAGGCCAUCCACAUUUAUUUGUAGUUUUAGUGUUUGGUUUUUAGCUAAGUCCUGUUCUUGCAUUCGGCCCAAGAUCCCUUUUGCCACACCAAAAUAGUGCAUGUUCCCCCCAGCUUUUGGUACUAUCUCCGCAUAAGUAGGGGUUGACAGGAGAGUGCGGCCGUCUUUUGGCAGUUUGGAAUCUGGGAAGUGCUUGCGAAGCACGGAGAGCAGGCUGGAAAUGUGGGAAAUUGGUGUAUUUGUUGUGAUUGCCCAUUCCUUGAGCUCAUGUCUUAAGUCCCUUUGAAAACUGCCCCCCUCCUCUGAAUCUGAGCCACUGCUAGAGCUCGACAAAUCAUUGAACUCCCAGUCAUCCUCGCCAGAGGAGGCGCUCUCCUCUGAUGCCAUUACCCAAUCCCCAUCUCCGCUUUCGUCGUCGUUUUCUAUUUCUGUGUAAGCUGGGACACUUGGUGGUGUGUCUAAUGUGUCUGCGCCAGCGGCCAGGUUAAAUUCCCAUCUCUCAGACUUACCUGAUCCUCCAUCCAAACUCUGAUGUUGGAAUCCAUGCUGUCCAGUCCAUGUGAAGAGCACAGGAAGGCUUGUUGCAGCACACUUAAUAGGUAUCACCAUAUGUCUGGUUGAGCUCCACAAAAGAUCUCGUCUGGCUCAGCUGUUUGAAGCGCAUCUACCUAAAUGUGUCAUUGUAAGGUGGUCUCCCUCUCUCCCUCCCCACCUCCCUCUCUCCCUCCCCACCUCCCUCUCUCCCUCCCCACCUCUCUCCCUCCCUCCCUUAUCACUCCUAGGCACACCAGGUGCAAAGUCCAGCACAAAUUGGGUCACCAAGCCUACAUCUAGGUGUUGUAAUGGACUGUCCGCUUUUAAAGCCUAAGGGGAGAAAAGUGACCUGGGCCCUCUUGCAUGCACCUUUCGCAGUCGUAAUAGGAAUUGUGUGCUUUUAUUUUUUUUAGAAAUGCCCAUGCCUGUGCAUCACAGACAAAACAGGAAAUUUCGAUUUUACUUAGAACAGUAACCCGGCUUGCGGAGGUACCUUCCCUUACACCCAAACUCCUUUUCUGUACAUAGUUUCUCAUUUAUUUAUUUUGUCUGUUCAGUCAAAUUGCAAAGAUUGUAUUUAUAUAUUGCAUUUCAUUUUCAUCAGUUUUCAUCAGUUGUUUGCACUGACAUACACAUGACAAUUAAAACUUGCGUUGUACUAUUUUA